rnacentral:lncRNA from 10 species
CUAUGGAGUUGGAUGAAUGGAAAAGAAUUGGCAGAGAAUUUAAAAAGGCAUAUAAAGACGGAGCCAAAAUUCCAGUUUCUGUUUGGUCAGUGCAGGCAUUGAUAAAGGCAGCUCUUGGGGCACUUCAAACAGAUGACAAGGCAGAUUCAGAAGAGGAAGAGGCAGACUAGUGUAAAAAACUAACUUCAGAUUCUGAAUGUGAGGAACAGCAACUGGAGGAAAUUAAAGAAAACAAAGGGAAACUGAAAAAGCUCACCAGACUGUACAAGAAGUGUGUGUCAGCAUCUGCUUCUGAUGAGGAUUUCAGGAAGCUUAAAAUCAUGGUGGAAGGUAAAGUGUAACUGGGUAUAUUACAUGUCUCACACUGUCACCUCGGUUGGAGUACACUGGCGUGAUCUCGGCUCACUGCAACCUCUGCCUCCUGGGUUCAAGUGACUCUCUUGCCUCAGCCUCGUGAGUAGCUGGGAUUACAGGUGCCUGCCACGACACCUGGCUAAUUUUUUGUAUUUUUAGUAGAUACAGGGUUUCAUUAUGUUGGCCAGGCUGCUCUCAAACGCCUGACCGUGUGAUCCACCUGCCUCAGCCUCCCAAAGUGCUGCAAUUACAGGCGUGAGCCACCGCAUCUGACCAUACCACAUUUUCCUUAUCCAGUCUAUCAUAGAUAGCCAUUCAGGACCCGUCCAUGCCUUUGCUAUUGUGAAUAGUGCUGCAAUAAACAUGCAUGUGGAUAUGUCUUUAUAAUAAUUUAUAUUUCUUUGGGUAUAUACCCAAUUAUGAGGUUCCUGAGUCAAAUGAUAAUUCUGUUUUUAAUUCUGUGAGGAAUCACCACACUGCUUUUUACAGCUGUUGAACUAAUUUACACUCCCACCAGCAGAGUAUAAGCAUUCCCUUUUCUCUGCAACCUUGCCAGCAUCUGUUAUUUUUUGACAUUUAAAAAAUAGCCAUUCUGAUGGGUAUGAUGCAGUAUCUCAUUGUGGUUUUUCUUUUAAUUUCUCUAAUAAUUAGCAAUGAGCAUUUUUUUCACAUGCUUGUUAACUGCACAUUUGUCUUCUUUUGAAAAGAAUAUGUUCAUUUUUUUUCUACUUUUUAAUGAGGUUGUUUGUUUUUUUUCUUGUAAACUUGUUUGAGCUCUUAAUAAAUUCUGGAUAUUAAUCCUUUGUCAGAGGCAAAGUUUGCAAAUAUUUUCUUUUAUUCUGUAGGUUGUCUCUUUACUCUGUUGAUAGUUUCCUUUGCUGUGAAGAAGCUCUUUAGUUUAAAUAGGUCCCAUUUGUCAAUUUUUGCUUUUGUGGCAAUAGCUUUUGGAAGCUUCAUCAUGAAGUCUUUGCCAGUUUCUAUGUCUAGAACAGUAUUUUUUAGGUUAUAUUGCAGGGUUUCUUAUAAUUUUAAGUUUUACAUUUAAGUCUUUAAUUUAUCUUGAGCUGAUUUUUGUAUAUGGUGUAAUGAAGGGGUCCAGUUUCUGUCUUCUACAUAGUGCUAGGUAGUUAUUCCAGCAUCAUUUAUUAAAGAGAGAAUUCUUCCCACUUUUCUCUUGUCAGGUUUGACAAAAAUCUGAUGGUUGUAGGAGGGUGGCAUUAUUUCUGGUCUCUCUAUUCUGUUGCAAAGGUCUUUUGCAUGCAUGGAUUUUUUUAUAACAUCAUUCUCUCUUGUGUUUUUCUCCCAUAAGCAUCACCUUAAGUGCAUAUAGUGUGCAAAAUUCAGGUGUCCAAGAGUUCAAAAACUCUUUAAAAAGUAUCAAAAAGCUAUUUUACUAUUCUCUCUUUUCUUAAGGCAUUUUGAUUAUAUGUAGAUAUUUUUCUCUGCUUUUUUGAAAUAUAUGUAAAUUAUAUUAACAGUUAAAUAAACCUUUAGUCAUUUUUUCAGACUCCAGAUUAUCUUUAUCUAGUACUUCAGGUUUUUUGCUUUCUUUUUGCUUCUGAAAAGUUUAUCUUUUUCAUUUUUAGUCCUUUAAAGUAGACACAGAUGGUUUAGAUAAAUGCUCAUUUUAAGAGCACACAGAUGCUUAGCACAAAGAUAGGAUUAAAUUUUGCAAUACAGAAUGAUAAAGACUGAAAGAUACUAAGUUUCUUUGAAAGAAAUCUGAUUAUCCAAGGUAAUUACCCAAUAUUUGCAGGCUGAAGGACUUAUACGGUGAAAGCAAAAACAGUUCAGUGCAUAAACUGAACAGUAGAGUCUGUAGUUGUAUCUUGCUUUCUAUUUAUUACUUCAGAACGAUUAGCAUAGUUAUGUGUAGGGUUUGUAAACAAAUUGCAUUCAUAUACAUUAAACAGUAUUUUAUUUUUUUUGAGACAGAGUCUCACCAUGUCGUCCAGGUUGGAGUGCAGUGGCAUGAUCUUGGAUCACUGAAACCACCGCCUCUCAGACGGAGUCUCACUUUUUUGUCCUGGCUAGACCACAGUGCUGCAAUCUCAUCUCACUGCAACCUCUGCCUCCUGGGUUCAAGCGAUUCUUCUGCCUUAGCCUCCCGGGUAGCUGGGACCACAGGCAGGCUCCACCAUGCCUGGCUAAAAUUUUUGUAUUUUUAGUAGAGACAGGGUUUCACCAUAUAGGCCAAGCUGGUCUCAAACUCCUGACCUCAUGAUCUGCACGCUUAGGCCUCCCAAAGUGCUGGGAUUAUAGAUGUGAGACACCGUGCCUGGCUAUAGUUGCAAUUUUUUAAAAUGCUACAUACAUUAUGACUAGUUCAUUAAAAUUAUUCAUACUUAGAUACUUAUACCUAAUAUCCAAAGAAAAUUUACUACCAAAUUGUUACAGUAGAUAUUAGUGUGACAUGUUUAUUACUUUAUUCAAUAGGGAUAAUUAUGAAUUAACACAACUUUAGUAUCUUUUAUUGCACUAAAUUGGAAUGCUGCUAUUACAGGAAAAAUAAAGACAGGUGAUGUGGCCACCCAAAACCAAUAAUAGCUAUUCAGUUAACUAUGUUACAAGUUCUUUUAUUUUUAUUUUUUUUUUUGAGAUGGAGUUUCACUCUGUCACCCAGGCUGGAGUGCAGUGGCAUGAUCUCGGCUCACUGCAACCUCCACCCUCCAGGUUCAAAUGAUUCUCCUUCCUCAGCCUCCUGAGUAGCUGGGACUACAGGCGCCUGCCACCGUGCCUGGCUACUUUUUUGUAUUUUUAGUAGAGAUGGGGUUUCACCAUCUUGGCCAGGCUGGUCUUGAACUCCUGACCUCGUGAUCCACCCACCUCUGCCUCCCAAAGUGCUGGGAUUACAGGCGUGAGCCACCACGCCCAGCCUACAAGUUCUAAUAUAUUCCACUCUAUGAAAACAGUCAGAUUCUAUUUCUUCAUCAAAAAGUGUUGUUGGAAGUUGUCAGAUGUAUUUCAAUAUAGAACUCCAUUCACUGGCUAGGAGAUGAGAGAGCACCAAAGAUGGAAAAAAAACUUUAUAAAAUUCUUCUGAAAAUCUGCCUUCUUUCUUCCUGAAGCUCAUGUUUCUCAUGCUGAGAGUAGCUGUGCACUUUGGGUGUUUAGAGAGAAAUUGCUUUUAGGGGAAUAUUUUUUGACUGACUUGAUCAAUCAUAUCUAAUCUGAGCUUUUUCUUAAGAUCUUUAUAAUAUUUUUCUAUGAAAAUAAUCUUGCUCAGAUCAAGAUCUCAUUUUUCUCUCCAAUGCUUUGGGUGUGUGUUUCAGAAGCCCUAUUAGUGUCCCAUGGUGUCAGAUUAAGGUGGGCUGUCACAAUGAGAAUUUUUGCAGCUAUCACUAUCUGGACUCAUGCUGAAAAUUCAGCUUUAUCUUUUCCUUGUCAUCUCUAUACGUAGAAAUUGACGCUGAAACACUGCUCACAUUCUCAUGAUUGUGAAGGUGUAAUUCUACCCAGGAGGCCUGCAGGCUCUCCUCCUGCAGCUCAGGCCUCACUCUCUGAUGUGACACUAGAGUGCUGCUGUGGCAAAUAGGAUUCACAUAAAAUGUGAGCUGUGGUUUGUGCCUCAGUGGCAGAUGGUAGAGGCCAAGAGAGGACACUAGCAACCAGGAGAAAGCAAGCAGGAGUGCUGUAGCCCAGUGCCAGGGAGUACAGAGCCACUGCUCUAAAAUGUAAGUAGCCAAAAAGAUAGAACACUAUUCAACCAUUUUUGUAGCAGAGUGAAAGCCUACCUUCAGCAGGCACCUGGCUUCAAGCUGCUAAACUACAUCCUAUUAUGAAGAUGUGAAAAGUUUUUGUCAUUGAAUAUAAGUAAUUAGCAUACACAGAUGGCCUCUUCAGUAUCCAGGUGAAUUUAGGAUGAACUAUGUAUGACAUGGUGCUGGAAAUUCUUCUACUUGUGGCCUAAUUAUAGUGACCAUCUUUCCGUCUCUUAAGCAGAUUGAUGAAGAUCCGUGUCACAUUCAAGUUCAAUUGUGUAAUAAAACAGUUUCUUUCUAUUCUAUUAUUGUGGAGUUUCUCUGGGGUGGAGAAAAAUUUUCAUUUAAUUAUUGUUUCCAAACACUGUCUAGAAUUACCAGACAUGAUAUAAACACAUAAGGUGACAUCCAGAAUUUACUCUAGAGGAGACUUUCCCUCUCAGGCUUCCAGUCAGCUCAGAGUUGUGCAGCAAAGUGCAUGCUGUCCCCUAAAUAUGCAGGCAGAAUUGUGUCUCUGCCUAGUUGGCAUUCAUAGUCCUCUGCAGUCACUUCUAGAGAGGCUAGAUCACAUUUCUACAAACUUCACAGGGCAGCAAUCAAUCAUUUUACCUCUUUCACUGACUCUUGUAUCUUCAGACUGGAACUGAUACAGAAACUAUUUGGCCCAGAAACCCAAUCAGAGUAACGUGUGUGCAUUGAGUAGACAUAUAGACAUGAGAAUCUCCACUUUCCCCUUCCUCCUCUUGCCAAAGUGCUCACAAAUGUACAGGUAACACCUGCUGCUACUCCAGCCAUUCAGGCCCUAAAUGUGCAGCUCCAAAUUUUGAAUUUAGAUCUUGAGAUUUGGGAAAUAAAAAACUUUUAUCUAAAAAAUGCAAGUCCUUUUGGUUAUCAAAUUCAGAGAGAUGAAAAUAAAAGUGCAGUUAUUUCUCCCCUCUUUGAACUAUGUAUUCAUGUCUUGAAACUGUUCACUAUUGCCACAAGUAGCUAUAAAUUAAACUAAUAAUGCCACAUUGGACACUAUAUCCCAUACCCUAAACCAUAACGAUAUAUAUCUAAUCAAUAAUCAAUGCUAUUUCUGUAAAUAAAUAAACAUUUCUGACAAACAACUUUGUAUUAUCUUUUAAUGGUAGGUUGUAUUGACAUUUUUGAAAAAUAAAAUUUUUUGACCCCUGAGCAAAAAUAUAUUGAAGUGUUUUAUAUAUACAUAUUUUUGAACUUUCCAGUUUGACUUUUGCUUUUAAUUCCUAGUUUAAUUCAGUUUUUGUUAGAAAAUACACAGUGUAUGGCCGGGCGUGGUGGCUCAUGCCUGUAAUCCCAGUACUUUCAGAGGCCGAGGCAGGCAGAUCACCUGAGGUCAGGAGUUUGAGAUCAGCCUCAACAUGGAGAAACCCCAUCUCUACUAAAAAUACAAAAUUAGCCUGGUGUGGUGGUGCAUGCCUGUAAUCCCAGCUACUUGGG